UCCGACUUAACGUCGGCAGUCUAUCUAGAGUGCCCAACUUAAUGCUGGCAACUAAAUACAGGGGUUGCGCUCGUUAUGGGACUUAACCCGACAUCUCACGACACGAGCUGACGACAGCCAUGCAGCACCUGAUACUAGCGUCCCGAAGGACUACGAUAUCUCUACCGUAUUCACUAGCACUUCAAACCCAGGUAAGGUUUUUCGCGUUGCAUCGAAUUGAACCACAUGCUCCACCGCUUGUGCGGGCCCCCGUCAAUUUCUUUGAGUUUUAAUCUUGCGACCGUACUUCCCAGGCGGAUCACUUAACGCGUUAGCUUCGGCACUGAUGGGGUCAAUACCACCAACACCUAGCGCCCAUCGUUUACGGCGUGGACUAC
rnacentral:misc_RNA from 1 species